AGCUUUGCACAGUGGCAGUAUUGUAGCUAAUGAGGUUUAUCUUAGGUGCAAUUAUUGCUAAUUGAAUACAAUGAGAUACCACCUCACACCACUCAGAAUAGCUAAAAUUAACAAGUCAGGAAAUGACAGAUGUUG